UACGUAGGGUGCAAGCGUUAAUCGGAAUUACUGGGCGUAAAGCGUGCGCAGGCGGUUUUGUAAGUCUGAUGUGAAAUCCCCGGGCUCAACCUGGGAAUUGCAUUGGAGACUGCAAGGCUAGAAUCUGGCAGAGGGGGGUAGAAUUCCACGUGUGAGCAGUGAAAUGCGUAGAUAUGUGGAGGAACACCGAUGGCGAAGGCAGCCCCCUGGGUCAAGAUUGACGCUCAUGCACGAAAGCGUGGGGAGCAAACAGGG
rnacentral:rRNA from 1 species